UGGACCAGUGAAGACAAAGUGUUUAUGAACAAAGAAUGGUGAUUAGUCCAGUUCUGCGCACAAUCCUGAGGUCCAUU
ensembl:snoRNA small nucleolar RNA, C/D box 112